rfam:Amborella trichopoda AMTR_V1.0_contig_3177, whole genome shotgun sequence.
CCCACACCCAUGUAAGUAGGACUCCAAAAGAUCACCAUUAAAUUUGGUACAGAUCUCUAGAAAAGUUAUCACAUAAGUGUGAGACUUAACUUUUCUAGAGAUAUGUACCAAAUUUGAUAGUGAUCAUUUGGGGUCCUACUCAUAUGGGUGUGGG